rnacentral:lncRNA from 1 species
CUCAAAUAAAGAAGUUAAUCUACACGCUUCUAAAAUAUAUAAAAUAUCCACGCUUUAUUGCAUUUAUUUUUUAAUUAAAUUAUCGGCUUCAGAACACAGUUGUUCACUUGAAACACUCAUAGCCGACACUGACUAAAUGAGAUUACGAAAUCUGACGAUGAGGCUUAUUAACACUUUCGAUCCCUGCAGAUACAAUCGAAUAAACCUUAUACGUUAUAACCAAACAAAAAUAUAUCAAACAUUCUUAAAUAUACAAAAUUUUCGUGUACCUCUAACUUAACCUCUAAUAUUAAAUCUACUUGUCACUCUCAUGUCUCUCCAUUUCGUAUAUUUUCAUAUUUAUUGCAAAAUUUGCGGUUUUAAAACACAUGCUCUUCUGAGCUCAAAACGCGAAGGAUCAAAUGCGUACUAUGACGCAUGCGUUGUACGAUCGGUUUAUUUCGAAUAUCGAUCGAUCUAAUCGAUCGAGCAUAACCUGCAAGACAAAGCUUACCAUGCGGUCGUAAUGCACAUUUCGUUCUUUAUGAUUUCAUACUCAGUUAUUUUAAUUGUUGAAUAUAUUAUUAUUGAAACGAAUGAAUAUUAGAUCAAUGCAAUGUGGACUGAGGUUAGGUUGACAGCAUGAUUAUGAAGAUUGCGAAAGGCAGGUGAACGAGUGUGGUUAAAAGUCUGAAAGCAAACUGAUUCGUACGAUGAGAUUACUCGCCAUUAUCGAGCUCCGUAUUCGGAAAACUAGAUAGUGAUACAGGCGUGCAUACCAUUCGUAGAUUCUAAUGGUAUCGGUCUUGAUUUACUGGUAGAUUGUACGUUGAUUAGCAAAUCGAGUCGAAUGUUAAAAUAUGGAAUAUUUAAUGAUGGUAAUGCGGUAUUUUUUAUUGGAAAAAAUUAAUUUCUAAUGGAGAGUAUUGCAUAGCGGUACUUUUUAGGUUAGAAGUUAGUGAGCGGUGAAGUUAUGAUGUUCGAGCGUGGGAAUUUCAUGUAUUGCAAGUCUGGUUGAUUACGGAUUUGAGAAAUUGAGAAUUUAACACUAAACCUACUGCAAUGCACACUUACUCUGAAAUUAAGAAUAAAGUUGAAAAAUAAAUAAAUUAAUGAUAAAACAUAAAUUAAUAUAUACAUUAAUUCUUUAUCU